rfam:Hordeum vulgare subsp. vulgare, WGS project CAJW01000000 data, contig: morex_contig_75629
AUAAUACUCCCUCCGUCCCAAAAUUCUUGUUUUAAAUUUGUCUAAAAAUAGAUGUAUCAAAAUAUGAAAACGUGACUAGAUACAUUCAUAUCUAGACAAGUCUAAGACAAGAAUUUUGGGACGGAGGAAGUAUAUG